rnacentral:lncRNA from 1 species
CUGCGGGCGCGGGAGGCACAGUCCGGGCUGAGUGACGCAGAGCGCUGCGGUCGGCUCCACUGCAUCGGGCACGUGGCACACACUCUGGAGAGAUGCGGGCUGCUCCGCGGGGCCAGGGCAGCGGUGCUGCGCGGGGGUGCGGGUGACGCCGGGCGCCAGCUGCUCAGAGCAGGUACGUGCGGGCGGGAGGGAGGGAGGGCACCAGCACGGAAGCUUGUGAAGGUUGCGGCGGGUGCAGGAGCGCGGAACCGGGUGCCAAGUGCGUGCAGGGCGCGGGGUGCGGGGACCAAGGUGGAGGGUCUCGGCGCUGCUGCGGGGCGCGGCUGGAUUCGGGGCGCUGGUGCAGGGAGCGGCGGGGUUCGGGGUGCGGAGUUUGGGGCGCCGGUGCAGGGCGCGGCGGGGUUUGGGGCGCGGGCGGGAUUCAGGGCGCCGGUGCAGGGCGCGGCGGGGUUGGGGGAGCGGGCUGGAUUCGGGGCGCCGGUGCAGGGCGCGGCGGGGUUGGGGGAGCGGGCUGGAUUCGGGGCGCCGGUGCAGGGCGCGGCGGGGUUGGGGGAGCGGGCUGGAUUCGGGGCGCCGGUGCAGGGCGCGGCGGGGUUGGGGGAGCGGGCUGGAUUCGGGGCGCCGGUGCAGGGCGCGGCGGGGUUGGGGGAGCGGGCUGGAUUCGGGGCGCCGGUGCAGGGCGCGGCGGGGUUGGGGGAGCGGGCUGGAUUCGGGGCGCCGGUGCAGGGCGCGGCGGAGUUUGGGGCGCGGGCUGGAUUCGGGGCGCAGGUGCAGGGCGCGGUGGGGUUCGGGGGGCGCAGGUGCAGGGCGCGGUGGGUUCGGGGGGCGCAGGUGCAGGGCGCGGUGGGGUUCGGGGGGCGCAGGUGCAGGGCGCGGUGGGUUCGGGGGGCGCAGGUGCAGGGCGCGGUGGGGUUCGGGGGGCGCUGGUGCAGGGCGCUGCGGUGUUUGGGGCGCGGGCUGAUUCAGGGCGCCGGUGCAGGGCGCGGCGGGAUUCGGGGGCACCGGCGGGGUUCUGGGCGCGGACUGGAGCGCCGAGUGUGCCCAGACUCAGAGCCCGGUGCUGUCUGUCCUCGGGGCGCCUUGCCGCUGGGGCGACCCUGUCCGGCUGCCGCGAGGGGCCGGGAGAUGAGGGACUCAGCGGUCCCCAGGCCCCUGCUCCUCUGCCGGGACCCCAGGACUCGCUUUUGCGACGCUGACUUCCUCCGUCCCCGCCCCCGCCUCUGCCUGUCUGGUCUCCGAAGCUCUGGCUUCCAUUCGGGGAUUUCAGAGGAUGCCCGAGCAACCUCCGGAGAGGGCAGGGGGGCCACACGGUUUACCCAGGGAGGACAGGGCGCUGGUGCGGGAGGCCCGCCCUGCCCAGACAGAACCUUCCCUUUCCCGGUGACUGCUGGGCUGGCUGGGCGGGUGCUGCCGGCACACCUGGGUCCUCGGGAGUCUCCGGGACUCGGGCACCAGCGAGCCUUGAAUUAG